rnacentral:tRNA from 1 species
ACUGUUUUGGCAGAUUAGUGCAAUAAAUUUAGAAUUUAUUUAAGUAAUUAAUUAUUACAAAUAGUA